GACGAACGCUGGCGGCGCGCUUAACACAUGCAAGUCGAGCGAGAACCUGGCUUCGGCCAGGGGAAAGCGGCGAACGGGUGAGUAUCACGUGAGUUAUCCACCCUCGGUACCGGGAUAGCCCGAGGAAACUCGGAUUAAUACCGGAUGGCCCAACAGCUCUUCGGGGCGGUUGGAAAAGGUAGCUUCGGCCUCCGACCGGGGACGAGCUCGCGGCGGAUUAGCUUGUUUGGGUGGGGUAAAGGCCUACCCAAGGCAACGAUCCGAGCUGGUCUGAGAGGACGAUCAGCCACACUGGGACUGAGACACGGCCCCAGACUCCUACGGGAGGGCAGCAGUGGGGGAAUCUUGCGCAAUGGGCGAAAGCCUGACGCAGCGACGCCGCGUGGGGGAAGAAGG
rnacentral:rRNA from 1 species